rnacentral:rRNA from 1 species
AAGGGCACCACAAGAACGCGUGGAGCAUGUGGCUUAAUUUGACUCAACGCGGGAAAUCUUACCGGGUCCGGACACACUGAGGAUUGACAGACAAAAGAGAUUAUUUCUCUGUAAAUAUGCUAGUUCUUUCAUGAUUGUGUGAUAGGUGGUGCAUGGCCGUUCUUAGUUCGUGGAAUAAUCUGUCUGCUUAAUUGCGUUUUUUUUCCUGGACACUUUCCCGUUACGGGUUUACUUGAGCUUUUCAUCUUGUUAUGUUGAGUAAAAGUGCCUAGGGAUUGCCUUGUCCAGUCUGCAACGAACGUGACCUCAACCCUUUUUUCUCAUUCACAAUAGUGUUUUUUCUUUUUUUAGAAAUUUCAUUUUUUGAUGUGUUUGUUUAGCAAAAGGGGACUGCCAGGUUCGCCCUGGAGGAAGGUUGAGGCAAUAACAGGUCUGUGAUGCCCUUAGAUGUUCCGGGCUGCACACGUGCUACAAUGAUCUGUGCAGUUAGCAUAUUUAACAAAACUGUUUUAUUUUCUUUUCUUUGAAAAGUUUAUUUAACAGUAAGCCUCCUCCGAAAGGUAGUAGGUAAUCUAUUGUAAAUACAGAUUUCCCUUAAGCUUUCAUGUAUUCACUCAUUUUCGUGGGUGUUACGAUGCUUACUUUGUAAGACUUCGUAGUGGGGACAGACGUUUGUUAAUUCUUCGUCUCGUUUUCAACUAGGAAUGCCUUGUACGGGUCUUUGGUUCAACAGACCACCCGGAAUACGUCCCUGCCCUUUGUACACACCGCCCGUCA